rnacentral:tRNA from 1 species
GGGGUUGUAGCUCAGUGGUAGAGUGCUUGCCUAGCAUGCAGGAGGCGUUGGGUUCAAUCCUCAGCACCA